AUACGGAGGGUGCGAGCGUUAAUCGGAAUUACUGGGCGUAAAGCGUACGUAGGCGGUUGGUUAAGUUAGAUGUGAAAGCCCCGGGCUUAACCUGGGAACUGCAUUUAAAACUGGCGAACUAGAGUUGAGUAGAGGGGAGUGGAAUUUCAGGUGUAGCGGUGAAAUGCGUAGAGAUCUGAAGGAACACCAGUGGCGAAGGCGACUCCCUGGACUCGAACUGACGCUGAGGUGCGAAAGCGUGGGUAGCAAACAGGAUUAGAAACCCCAGUAGUCC
rnacentral:rRNA from 1 species